GAUGAACGCUGGCGGCGUGCCUAAUACAUGCAAGUCGAGCGAACAGAUAAGGAGCUUGCUCCUUUGACGUUAGCGGCGGACGGGUGAGUAACACGUGGGUAACCUACCUAUAAGACUGGAAUAACUCCGGGAAACCGGGGCUAAUGCCGGAUAACAUGUUGAACCGCAUGGUUCUACAGUGAAAGGCGGCUUUGCUGUCACUUAUAGAUGGACCCGCGCCGUAUUAGCUAGUUGGUGAGGUAACGGCUCACCAAGGCAACGAUACGUAGCCGACCUGAGAGGGUGAUCGGCCACACUGGAACUGAGACACGGUCCAGACUCCUACGGGAGGCAGCAGUAGGGAAUCUUCCGCAAUGGGCGAAAGCCUGACGGAGCAACGCCGCGUGAGUGAUGAAGGUCUUCGGAUCGUAAAACUCUGUUAUUAGGGAAGAACAAAUGCGUAAGUAACUGUGCGCGUCUUGACGGUACCUAAUCAGAAAGCCACGGCUAACUACGUG
rnacentral:rRNA from 1 species